rnacentral:tRNA from 1 species
GGCCCCAUCGUCUAAUGGCUCAGGACAGCGGAUUUUCGCUCCGCCAAUCGGGGUUCGAAUCCCCGUGGGGUCA